rnacentral:rRNA from 1 species
UAACCCUGUGCAUCUGUUAUUGGUUAGUAGCUCUUCGGAGUGAACUCCAUUCACUUACAAACACAAAGUCUAUGAAUGUAUACAAAAUUAUAACAAAACAAAACUUUCAACAACGGAUCUCUUGGCUCUCGCAUCGAUGAAGAACGCAGCGAAAUGCGAUACGUAAUGUGAAUUGCAGAAUUCAGUGAAUCAUCGAAUCUUUGAACGCACCUUGCGCUCCUUGGUAUUCCGAGGAGCAUGCCUGUUUGAGUGUCAUGA